GACGAACGCUGGCGGCGUGCUUAACACAUGCAAGUCGAACGGCAGCACGGGUGCUUGCACCUGGUGGCGAGUGGCGAACGGGUGAGUAAUACAUCGGAACGUACCUUAUCGUGGGGGAUAACGCAGCGAAAGCUGUGCUAAUACCGCAUACGCCCUGAGGGGGAAAGCGGGGGACCGUAAGGCCUCGCGCGAUCGGAGCGGCCGAUGUCAGAUUAGGUAGUUGGUGGGGUAAAGGCUCACCAAGCAAACGAUCUGUAGCUGGUCUGAGAGGACGACCAGCCACACUGGGACUGAGACACGGCCCAGACUCCUACGGGAGGCAGCAGUGGGGAAUUUUGGACAAUGGGCGAAAGCCUGAUCCAGCAAUGCCGCGUGCAGGAAGAAGGCCUUCGGGUUGUAAACUGCUUUUGUACGGAGCGAAAAGGUCUCCUCUAAUACAGGGGGCUCAUGACGGUACCGUAAGAAUAAGCACCGGCUAACUACGUGCCAGCCGCCGCGGUAA
rnacentral:rRNA from 1 species